GACGAACGCUGGCGGCGUGCUUAACACAUGCAAGUCGAGCGGUAAGGCCCUUUCGGGGGUACACGAGCGGCGAACGGGUGAGUAACACGUGGGUGACCUGCCCUCAGCUCUGGGAUAAGCCUGGGAAACUGGGUCUAAUACUGGAUAUGACUCCACGGUGCAUGUCGUGGGGUGGAAAGCCUUGUGCGGCUGAGGAUGGGCCCGCGGCCUAUCAGCUUGUUGGUGGGGUGAGGCCUACCAAGGCGACGACGGGUAGCCGGCCUGAGAGGGCGACCGGCCACACUGGGACUGAGACACGGCUCAGACUCCUACGGGAGGCAGCAGUGGGGAAUAUUGGACAAUGGGCGCAAGCCUGAUCCAGCGAUGCCGCGUGUGUGAAGAAGGCCUGCGGG
rnacentral:rRNA from 1 species